rnacentral:rRNA from 1 species
GACCUCAGUUCAGGUGAGAUUACCGGCUGAAUUUAAGCAUAUUACUAAGCCGAGGAAAAGAAACUAACAAGGAUUCCCCUAGUAGCAGCGAGCGAACAGGGAAGAGCCCAGCGCUGAAUCCCCCGGGCCUCGCUCGGCGGGAAAUGUAGCGUUUGGGAGGGCCCGUCAACACGGCGACUCGCUCACUGGUUCAAGUCCAACUUGAAUGGGGCCACACAGAGGGUGACAGGCCCGUAGAGCAGGAGCGGUUGUCGUGUGGGUCUCUCCUUAGAGUCGGUUUGCUUGAGAGUGCAGACUUAAGUGGGUGGUAAACUCCAUCUAAGGCUAAAUAUGACCACGAGACCGAUAGCACACAAGUACCGUGAGGGAAAGGUGAAAAGAACUUUGAAGAGAGAGUUCAAGAGUACGUGAAACUGAAGUGGUGUAAACGGACGAGUUCGAAAAGUCCGAAUGGUGAGAUUCAAGCUUACCGUGCCGGUGGCCCUCGGGUUCAGAUGGCGUCGUCAGCUCGGGCUUCGGUUCGGGUCAUACGGCGUCACUCGUCCUGGGGGUAUCUGUCUGGUGCGGUGGGCUGCACUUCUCGCCUAGUAGGACGUCGCGACCCGUUGGGAUGUUCCGUUCACUGGCCCCUGGUGGAGCCCGCGCCGGAGCGUGGCCUUGUGCCGCGUUGCUGUUUGCACGGACCCGGGGUGACCUGAUCGGCGCCCGACGGUAUCAAAGCUUGGGAAGAGGCCGCACAGAGGAUGCGUUCGAUGGCCGUUUCGGCCUACACUCGGACAGGCCUGCACCCGGUCAGCGGCGC